rnacentral:lncRNA from 1 species
CGAGCAACAACAGGAAGGAGAACCUUUCACUGUUCCAAGGUUGAUGUUUGAUUAUGUGGAACUGGACUGCACAUUAGAAAAUUGAGAUUGAGCAGCUGCUUCUGGUACACUUUCAAUGACAUAAUAAAACCCAUCUGCCUCACAAAAGCCUCCCUCACUUUCAUCCACGGUCAGAAAACUGUGCUCCUUUUCCCUAGACCCACAGGAUAGAAGGACACCAUGGGAGCAACAGUGAGUGAAGUCAAGUCCCCACGUUCUUGGAACACACCUUCUGGAGAAGAGGAAUAACAACAGACUAGGCAAACAUAAAGAAAAAUGUAGCUUCAGAGACUAGAAAUGUUCAGCAAGGAAAGCAAACCAUGCCAAGGGGGGUGGUUAUAAACCAGAGUGUUGUUCUGAUUCCGAAAAUCUACUGUUUGAGCCUCAAUUAAAGACAUUUAGCAUUAUGAAC